rnacentral:rRNA from 1 species
UACAGAGGUGGCAAGCGUUGUUCGGAUUUAUUGGGCGUAAAGGGUCCGUAGGCGGUCCGUAAAGUUGGAUGUGAAAUCCCACAGCUUAACUGUGGAACUGCAUUCAAAACUCACGGACUAGAGUAUGGAAGGGGUGAGGGGAAUUCCCGGUGUAAGGGUGAAAUCUGCAGAGAUCGGGAGGAACACCAGUCGCGAAGGCGCCUCACUGGUCCAUUACUGACGCUCAGGGACGAAAGCUAGGGGAGCGAACGGG